UUACUUGUUCUUGAAGCUU
rnacentral:siRNA from 1 species